GUAGACAUAGUUUAAAAAAAACACUAAGCUGUGGACUUAACAAUAGAAAUUUCCCCCUUCUUGCCUACC
rnacentral:tRNA from 1 species